GACGAACGCUGGCGGCGUGCUUAACACAUGCAAGUCGAACGGAAAGGCCCUGCUUGCAGGGUACUCGAGUGGCGAACGGGUAAGGAACACGUGGGAGAUCUGCCAUGCACCUCGGGAUAAGCCUGGACAACUGGGUCUAAUACCGGAUAGGAGCCAUUCUUGGUGUGAUGGUUGGAAAGUUUUUUCGGUGUAGUAUGGGGUCGCGGCCUGUCGGCUUGUUCGUGGGGCAAUGGCGUAUCGAGGGGGCGACGGGUAGCCGGCCUGAGAGGGUGGACGGCCACGGUGGGGCUGAGAUACGGCGCAGGCACCGGCGAGUGGCGGAAGUGGGGAGUAUUGCUCAAGGAGCGCAGGCCUGAUGCAGCGACGCCGCUUGGGGGAUGGCGGCCUUCGCGUUGUAGACGCCUUUCUCUAGGGUCGGAGCUUUUUGUGACGGUACCUAGAUAAGAAGCACCGGCUAACUACGUG
rnacentral:rRNA from 1 species